UACGUAGGGUGCGAGCGUUAAUCGGAAUUACUGGGCGUAAAGCGUGCGUUAGGCGGUUCGUUAAGUUCGUUGUGAAAGCCCCGGGCUCAACCUGGGAAUUGCGAUGAAGACUGCAAGGCUUGAAUCUGGCAGAGGGGGGUAGAAUUCCACGUGUAGCAGUGAAAUGCGUAGAGAUGUGGAGGAACACCGAUGGCGAAGGCAGCCCCCUGGGUCAAGACUGGACGCCUCAUGCACGAAAGCGUGGGGAGCAAACAGG
rnacentral:rRNA from 1 species